CCUUCCGUAGGUGAACCUGCGGAAGGAUCAUUAAAUGUUAUAGCAACCCUCUGGCUGAAAAUGCCAGGGGGCACAACUAUACCACCCUUUGUUUAUUACACUUUUGUUGCUUUGGUAGGCCAGUCUUCGGACUGCUGGCUUCGGCCGGACAGCGCCUGCCAGAGGACCUAAACUCUGUUUGUCUAUAAUGUCUGAGUACUAUAUAAUAGUUAAAACUUUCAACAACGGAUCUCUUGGUUCUGGCAUCGAUGAAGAACGCAGCGAAAUGCGAUAAGUAAUGUGAAUUGCAGAAUUCAGUGAAUCAUCGAAUCUUUGAACGCACAUUGCACCCCCUGGUAUUCCGGGGGGUAUGCCUGUUCGAGCGUCAUUAACAACCCUCAAGCUCUGCUUGGUAUUGGGCCCCGCCGACCUGGCGAGCCCUAAAAUCAGUGGCGGUGCCAUCUGGUUCCGAGCGUAGUAAUUCUUCUCGCUUUGGAGGCCAGGUGUGUGCUUGCCAGCAACCCCCAUUUUUUUAAGUUUGACCUCGGAUCAGGUAGGGAUACCCGCUGAACUUAAGCAUAUCAAUAAGCGGAGG
rnacentral:rRNA from 1 species